GUGGGGAAUAUUAGGCAAUGGGGGAAACCCUGACCUAGCAACGCCGCGUGAAGGAUGAAGGUCUUCGGAUUGUAAACUUCUUUGGCCCGGGACGAUAAUGACGGUACCGGGAGAACAAGCCACGGCUAACUACGUGCCAGCAGCCGCGGUAAUACGUAGGUGGCAAGCGUUGUCCGGAUUUACUGGGUGUAAAGGGCGAGUAGGCGGGGAUGCAAGUCAGAUGUGAAAUACCGAGGCUUAACUUCGGAGCUGCAUUUGAAACUGCAUUUCUUGAGUGAUGGAGAGGUAGGCGGAAUUCCCGGUGUAGCGGUGAAAUGCAUAGAGAUCGGGAGGAACACCAGUGGCGAAGGCGGCCUGCUGGACAUUAACUGACGCUGAGGCGCGAAAGUGUGGGGAGCAAACAGGAUUAGAAACCCUUGUAGUCC
rnacentral:rRNA from 1 species